rnacentral:rRNA from 1 species
GAUGAACGCUGACAGAAUGCUUAACACAUGCAAGUCAACUUGAACUUCGGUUUGGGUGGCGGACGGGUGAGUAACGCGUAAAGAACUUGCCUCACAGUUAGGGACAACAUUUGGAAACGAAUGCUAAUACCUGAUAUUAUGAUUUUAGGGCAUCCUAGAAUUAUGAAAGCUAUAUGCGCUGUGAGAGAGCUUUGCGUCCCAUUAGCUAGUUGGAGAGGUAACGGCUCACCAAGGCGAUGAUGGGUAGCCGGCCUGAGAGGGUGAACGGCCACAAGGGGACUGAGACACGGCCCUUACUCCUACGGGAGGCAGCAGUGGGGAAUAUUGGACAAUGGACCAAGAGUCUGAUCGAGCAAUUCUGUGUGCACGAUGAAGUUUUUCGGAAUGUAAAGUGCUUUCAGUUGAGAAGAAAAAAAUGACGAUACCAACAGAAGAAGUGACGGCUAAAUACGUG